rnacentral:rRNA from 1 species
UACAGAGGGUGCAAGCGUUAAUCGGAAUUACUGGGCGUAAAGCGUGCGUAGACGGUUAUUUAAGUCAGGUGUGAAAGCCCCGGGCUCAACCUGGGAAUUGCAUUUGAGACUGAAUAGCUAGGGUGCGGAAGAGGGAAGCGGAAUUUCCGGUGUAGCGGUGAAAUGCGUAGAUAUCGGAAGGAACACCAGUGGCGAAAGCGGCUUCCUGGUCCCAGCACCGACGUUCAGGCACGAAAGCGUGGGGAGCAAACAGGG